GCCUAACACAUGCAAGUCGAGCGGUAAGGCCUUUCGGGGUACACGAGCGGCGAACGGGUGAGUAACACGUGGGUGAUCUGCCCUGCACUCUGGGAUAAGCUUGGGAAACUGGGUCUAAUACCGGAUAUGACCACAGCAUGCAUGUGUUGUGGUGGAAAGAUUUAUCGGUGCAGGAUGGGCCCGCGGCCUAUCAGCUUGUUGGUGGGGUAAUGGCCUACCAAGGCGACGACGGGUAGCCGACCUGAGAGGGUGACCGGCCACACUGGGACUGAGACACGGCCCAGACUCCUACGGGAGGCAGCAGUGGGGAAUAUUGCACAAUGGGCGGAAGCCUGAUGCAGCGACGCCGCGUGAGGGACGAAGGCCUUCGGGUUGUAAACCUCUUUCAGCAGGGACGAAGCGUGAGUGACGGUACCUGCAGAAGAAGCACCGGCUAACUACGUGCCAGCAGCCGCGGUAAUACGUAGGGUGCGAGCGUUGUCCGGAAUUACUGGGCGUAAAGAGUUCGUAGGCGGUUUGUCGCGUCGUUUGUGAAAACCCGGGGCUCAACUUCGGGCUUGCAGGCGAUACGGGCAGACUUGAGUG
rnacentral:rRNA from 1 species